rnacentral:misc_RNA from 1 species
GGGUGGAGGAGAGGAGUUGGAGUGUUAGAAUUUAUAGUCUGAUUAAGAUGAAAUUUCUCUACUUUUUCCCCCUUCUGUUGUAUUAUGAACUAUAUCUUUGUUAUAAUAGAACUUUGUACAAGGAUCUUUUAUUAAAGAAGCAUCUAAACCGUUUCUGAAAGAUGAUGGUCUAAAUUUUAGAAAUGGCCUCAUCUUAAUAUUGCUUGUUGGGUUCUGUUUUCAGGAAAAGCUUAUUCUUAAGAAAUU